UACAGAGGGUGCGAGCGUUAAUCGGAAUUACUGGGCGUAAAGCGUGCGCAGGCGGUUUUGUAAGCCAGAUGUGAAAUCCCCGGGCUUAACCUGGGAAUGGCAUUUGGGACUGCAAGGCUUGAGUGCGGCAGAGGAGACUGGAAUUCCUGGUGUAGCAGUGAAAUGCGUAGAUAUCAGGAGGAAUACCGAUGGCGAAGGCAGGUCUCUGGGCUGACACUGACGCUCAUGCACGAAAGCGUGGGGAGCAAACAGG
rnacentral:rRNA from 1 species